rnacentral:rRNA from 1 species
AUAAAACAAGCCCUUCGGGGCUCUCUGGUGAUUCAUAAUAACUUCUCGAAUCGCACGGCCUUGCGCCGGCGAUGGUUCAUUCAAAUUUCUGCCCUAUCAACUUUCGACGGCUGGGUCUUGGCCAGCCGUGGUGACAACGGGUAACGGAGGGUUAGGGCUCGACCCCGGAGAAGGAGCCUGAGAAACGGCUACUACAUCCAAGGAAGGCAGCAGGCGCGCAAAUUACCCAAUCCCGACACGGGGAGGUAGUGACAAUAAAUACUGAUACAGGGCUCUUUCGGGUCUUGUAAUCGGAAUGAGUACAAUUUAAAUCCCUUAACGAGGAACAAUUGGAGGGCAAGUCUGGUGCCAGCAGCCGCGGUAAUUCCAGCUCCAAUAGCGUAUAUUAAAGUUGUUGAGGUUAAAAAGCUCGUAGUUGAACCUUGGGCCUAGCCGGCCGGUCCGCCUCACCGCGUGCACUGGCUCGGCUGGGUCUUUCCUUCUGGAGAACCGCAUGCCCUUCACUGGGUGUGCCGGGGAACCAGGACUUUUACUCUGAACAAAUUAGAUCGCUUAAAGAAGGCCUAUGCUCGAAUACAUUAGCAUGGAAUAAUAGAAUAGGACGUGUGGGUCUAUUUUGUUGGUUUCUAGGGACCGCCGUAAUGAUUAAUAGGGGACAGUCGGGGGCAUCAAUAUUCAAUUGUCAAAAGGUGAAAAUUCUUGGGAUUUAUUGAAGACUAAACUACUGCGAAAACCAUUUUGCCAAGGAUGUUUUCAUUAAUCAGGGAACCGAAAAGUUUAGGGGGAAUCCAAAAAAC